rnacentral:sRNA from 2 species
UAUUGUUUUAGUUAGGUGAGGCUCCUAUAUGGAUAUACGCUACUGCCCGGAAACAUCGAGAGAUGCCAAUGGGUCAACAGGUACUACCGAAUUAAGGUUUUAUCUAAUGUAGCUAGACAUAGUUCUAAAGCUAUAUAGUGCUAAAACUCAACGAAGUAUUAACUGA